rnacentral:rRNA from 1 species
CCUACGGGGGGCAGCAGUGAGGAAUAUUGGUCAAUGGGCGGGAGCCUGAACCAGCCAAGUCGCGUGAGGGAAGACGGUCCUAUGGAUUGUAAACCUCUUUAGGCGGGGAGCAAUGCCGGGCACGCGUGCCCGGAGGGAGAGUACCCGCAGAAUAAGCAUCGGCUAACUCCGUGCCAGCAGCCGCGGUAAUACGGAGGAUGCGAGCGUUAUCCGGAUUUAUUGGGUUUAAAGGGUGCGUAGGCGGAUUUUUAAGUCAGCGGUAAAAUGUCCGGGCUCAACCCGGGCCGGCCGUUGAAACUGGGGAGCUUGAGUGGGCGAGAAGUAGGCGGAAUGCGUGGUGUAGCGGUGAAAUGCAUAGAUAUCACGCAGAACUCCGAUUGCGAAGGCAGCAUACCGGCGCCCGACUGACGCUGAGGCACGAAAGCGUGGGGAUCGAACAGGAUUAGAUACCCCAGUAGUC